rnacentral:lncRNA from 1 species
UUAAUUAUAUCGGUCAUCCUCUUAAAGGGUCUUGUACGUGUCAUAUGACCUAGUUCUCAAAUCUCAAUUGAUUAAUAAUGUCUUGAUCAAAUUUAGUUCCAAUAUCCCAUCAUCUCAAAUCUCAAUUGAUUAAUGCCUUGAUAGUCUCAAUAUCUCAUCAUCCCAUCACACUGUAUUUCUAUUGAUAUUCUAAUUCUAAUCUCAAUAUAUUACUUGCUUACUAAUUCUAAGCCAAGUGUCAAGUUUUCUCUCUUUAAUCUGUAGGUAUGAUUCUUAGUUAUAUCGGUCAUCCUCUUGAAGUCUUGUACGUGUCAUAUGACCUUGUUCUCAAAUCUCAAUUGAUUAAUGCUUUGAUCAAAUUUAGUCGCAAUAUCUCAUCAUCUCAAAUUUCAAUUGAUUAAUGUCUUGAUAGUCUCAAUAUCUCAUCAUCCCAUCGCACUGUAUUUCUAUUAAUAUUCUAAUUCUAUUAUCAAUUGCUUACUUACUAAUUCUAAACCAAGUGUCAAACUUUAUCUAUUUAAUCUGCAUGUAUGAUUAUUAGUUAUAUUGGUCAUUCUCUUGGAGUCUUGUACGUGUCAUAUGACCUAGUUCUCAAAUCUCAAUUGAUUAAUGUUUUGAUCCAAUUUAGUCCCAAUAUCUCAUCAUCUCAAAUCUCAUGUGUAUCAGCAAGAGGGGCUAAUCCGAACGUGGUUUGUCUCCAUUCAAUUGAGAGGGAAGCCCCCGGGACGCUACGGUGCCUUAGCUGGUUCCCGAUCCUCCUUCAAAAGUGGGAAAGAGAGGCGGAAGGCGCCCCUUCCAAACAAUGAAAAAAAUCCGAGGAACUUCGAAGCUUAUAGGGCCUCCUCUUGUAAGCUAGCUCCAUUCGAUCGAUCGCUUCCGUUCAUAAUAGAUUGGUUGUGAAUUAAUUGAUUAAUGCCUUGAUAGUCUCAAUAUCCCAUCAUCCUAUCACACUGUAUUUCUAUUGAUAUUCUAAUUAUAAUCUCAAUUGCUUGCUUAUUUUAUUGUAGAUAACUAAUGCUUUUGAUGUGUAUAUAUAUAGAUAUAUAGUUGUAAUAGUACCAACAUUUGAUUCAUAGUUAUUAGAUUGUGUUUUUCCGUCCUGUUAGGUUUAAGGAUUAUACACUCGUUUACUGUAUUGUUAGAGCGGUGAUUGUGUGCUUAGUUAUUAGAUUUUGCUUCUAUUCAAGAGCGUAUGGUUCAAUUUGAGUAUGUUUGUUCUUUUAUCUUUAGCUUUUGUUAUCGAAUUUCUAUAAAAUGUUAAAAUAUUAAUUUCUUAAUGAUCAGUUAACUACGUGAUUAUUUGAUAUGUUUUUAAUCUAAAAUGUGAUAUGUAAAAUAUAGAAGAAAAAAAAAUAAAACAAUUUUAAGAAAAAAAUUUCAGUCCACCCCAACCUAAAAUCCUAGGUCCAACAUUGUGUGUGUGUGUAUAUAUUUAUAUAUACAGUCCGUUUCAGAUACGAACGUCCACACCGUAAACGGUGCGGACGUCCGCACCUGAUAACUGUUGUGUAUAUAUAUAUAUAUAUAUAUCAUGAAAUUAGAUUAAUUUAUAAUUAAUUUGAUCAAGAGAUUAACGUAAUCUUGUAAGGCUAUAACAUAUUCGAUCCUAUAAUGCAGUUCAUUGCAUUUAUAACUAGUACUGUCUAUGCAGCUUGUAAUCACAAGGAAGUAAAAGCUAGCGUCAGAGAUAGAUAGCGAAUUAGGGCUCUCUUGCAUACCCAAGAUGAAUUACCUACCCUACCUGGUCAUUGUUUGCCCAUAAUGCAACUCGAUCGAACACGGAACCAAAUUUGCCAACCAUCAAAUUUGGUGGUCANNNNN